CACCGAGUCCGAGGUUCCGGGCGCACACCGGGACCUGGUGCAAAAGGGA
rnacentral:sRNA from 1 species